rnacentral:misc_RNA from 1 species
AGUGCAGCGCCGAAGUCGGUCCCGACUGUUGGUCGUUGUUCCCAAAGAAUGCUAAUCGCAUUAAAAAGCAAGAAAGAGGUUGAUAGUGUCGGAGCCAUUACAGCCAGAGGUUUUAAUGAAGAGAUAUGAAGGAGAGAUUGCUGACGCAAUCCUCUAGCCGCCCCGUUCUGUUCCGUCUAUAUAGAGAAUACUCUACAAAGCACUAAUAGCUAUCAUCGUCAUUGAAGCGGCGGCGCUAAGAGCGGCUAAUCUCGUCAAGACGUUCAAGAUUCGAGUUGCAGGGCUACAUAGGUGUGUAGGUGUUCUGUGGAGCUGCUACACGGAAGACGCUACCAAGCGCGAGAGCUGACUCGGCAAGCUGGUCCUUUUACUUUUUUUCCUUCCGAUACAGCGACGCUACACGACGCACGGUUACCGUUUGCCAUCGCCUGUCGUCGCCAUCCUGUUGAGCUCUAAAAACUGCCAAGCUGCCGAUUUUAAGCAUGGCUAACGUCGGCACAACUUUCAUGCGACAGUCUAGCUCGUUGGACGUCGUAGCGAAGAAGAUUAGGCAUGGACGAGAUGCUGCCUGUGCAGAUGCCAGGAAUGCUCCCCAUCUACUAUGUUGAACACACUCAUAAUUAAAAUGUUCACCCCACAUUGCUGGCUGAACUGGUUAAAUGACACAUUCACUUGCAAAGCACUAUUUCACUUGACUCUCUCAAGUAUCGGGCCUUAGAAAAGUGGUCUCUCUCUCAAGUAUCCAGCCAGCAGGCAUCUAUGGACAUUGGAAAUCCUGCCAUCAACAAUGGUAAUUCCAUCUACCAUGCAAAUUCUGGUGGCCUGGAUCCGACACGAGCUCACAGCCCAUUCACUGGAAAUUGCAGUUCCAUCACAGUCACACAAGAUGGAUGGCAGCUUCCAGCCUGGCGAGAUCGGAGAAAACAUCUUGGAAGGCUGUCUAAGCGUGGCUCUCGUCACCCAAAUGGCAGCUGCAAUCUUCCAAGCUGCUCUCAUUAUCUCACGAGUGGAAUACUUGUGAGCAGACCACCCCGUCACGUGUAGCUCUGCUAAGCAGUACUCUUUUUGAUUCGAUUUCACCUUGUGAGCAGACCACCCCGUCUCUUUUCUUGUUUUGCAUUUUUCUUGUGAGCAGACCACCCUGUCUGUCUUCUUAUUGUGAAUUUUUCUUGUGAGCUGACCACCCUGCACUGUAAUGGUCAGUGAAGUAAUUGUUUCUUCAUUUGUAGUUUACUAUGUGAUGCGAAAGAGCGUGCCUUUUAUAAAAGAAUCCUGUGAUAUAACUUUUGAGAAAUGCAGCUUUUGUAGCGAUAGUGUCUUUGAUGCUAUAAGUGCCUUGGUGUAGGCAGCUGUAGAGCUGCCGCAUCUCUAUAGCUCAGGACAUGCACUUAGUGUCUUUGUGGAAUUGACCCUCUACAUUUGUCAUAUACAUGACUUAAAGGAGAUAGAUUUGCCAAAAUUUUCAAUAUUUAUUGGUUUGUCUCAAGCUGCAUUUUGCAGCUUUAGGGCUCAUUCACACCGGUGACUCGCAGAGGUCACGUGACUGCAGUCGCAAAGCUUCUGAACUAAUCAUAUGUUCAGGAACUGUAUACGUCGACGCGCACUUUAUGUAGAGAUAGUGGUACAAGCAGACGUGAACAGCAUCAAUGAUGCAACAUUUUGAUGUUGCAGCAGACAUGUUGCACUUACCAGGUGACCUUCGCUCACAAUGAGUCGCUCUUUGGUAACCAGUCAUGCAACCUGUCAAUCGCCAAUGUGAUUGAGCCCUUAGAUUGUUGUGGAGUAUUACAGCAAAACAGCUCGGUGCACAUUGAACACGGCGGGCAAGCCACUGGUGCAGAAGAGCAUAACUAAGUUGAAAUGACAGCCAAAUGGAGCAAGACAUCAGCCAGGAUUGAUGCAUCCAUGUGACACGUCAUGCUGACCACGCUGUAAUCCUGGCCAAAAUGCGUUCUCUUUGUUUACAAAUUUCAGCACAUGUUAUGAAAGCUAAAGCGUUACCUUUUGCCUCAGUGGUUCAGAUAAGAAACCAUAAGUGUACACAUAUGAAAAGACAUUUUAUUGCACACAAUGUUUCAGUCAAAAUUGGGUGGUAACAUCCUCACACACAGCAUGUAUGUGCUUGUGAACAUAGCAAAUUAUUUCGAUGAAACUGUCUAGCUGUGAAUCUUGUUCAUCUGUUGGCUGACUUGGUAAAACCUUGAAAUUUUGAAAGCAUAAAGAAUAUCCCCAAACCAAUGAUAAUUUCUGGCUGUGGUUUUGUAGUGAUGAAAAUUUUUAUUGCCAGUUUGAAUUGUUUUGAAAGUGCACACAGCCCAUUGCUUGCAUUUAUACAUUGUCCUUUAGCCACAACAGUGAAAUGUUAAGAACAAGCACUGUUUCAUGGUUCUGUUGACCAAAAUAAAAAAUUAGUUUGUUAAAAACAA